AGCUCGGAUUGCAGUCUGCAACUCGACUGCAUGAAGCUGGAAUCGCUAGUAAUCGCGAAUCAGAAUGUCGCGGUGAAUACGUUCCCGGGCCUUGUACACACCGCCCGUCACACCAUGAGAGCCGGGAACACCCGAAGUCCGUAGUCUAACCAUUAAGGAGGACGCGGCCGAAGGUGGGUUUGGUAAUUGGGGUGAAGUCGUAACAAGGUAUC
rnacentral:rRNA from 1 species